UGGUGUGUGCUUUGAGUGGUGUG
rnacentral:piRNA from 1 species